rnacentral:lncRNA from 1 species
AAGUAGGUUUGAUAUUUUACAUUCCUCUCUCCCAACAGACGACCUCUAUUACGACUAUUAACUACUCAGUCAAGUCAAGCCAUCUCUUCUGUUGCUAGGAUGAGUGUGACCAUUAGUUAUGUUUUUCGAAAAGAAAAAGAAAAAAGGAAAGCAGGAAAAAACAAGCAAAAAAACCCACACCUUCAAAUAUUUGUAUUUUUAACGAUAUUUGUUUUAAUGUUAAUUUUAUAACAUAAUUAUUAAUUAAAUCCGUAAAUUUAAACUGUGCAUGCACUACAAGAAACAAUAUUCUGGUUAUUAAUUAUAAUAUAUAAAACACUCGCGAAUAGUUUGACUGGUACCAUAGUAUUCUAUCAUAUCACAUUUAUUUAAAGUUAAAGAGUAAAACCCAGUCUGAACAAGCCUCUCAAUAUGACGUCAUAAACGCUCAUGACGUUCACUUAGCAACGUGUUUACUUUACAAAGCACGUUUGUUAAAUCUGCUACUUAGUCCCGUAUUAUUUUGUUUCAUAUAGUUGUGGAACACUAAUUAUGCAGGUUUUGUUUUUGGAUUUAAUCUAUUCUUGCAGAUUUUACAAAAGGUUUUCCGACGGGAUUAAGAGGAAAAGAAUCCACAAAUUUGACGAUGCUUGGUACCUUGAAUUUAGCAAUCUGAAAAAGUAAAUAGCAACCCGUAAGAUAUGACAUGAUAACUCAAUAAUACGUGACGUGUCUCGUUGCCGUAGUGGUUAAGCCAUAGGAAAUGAGGCUGGUACGAAAAACAGAAGAAGAUAUAUUGUGAAGUGAAAUGAAGUUUGAUCUACCACAAAGGAAGGAAGGGAACUCUGUUUACGUGCCCAUAUCCCGAAGGUUCAGGCACGCCCACCCCGGACUUAGCCCCUGACUUCGCCAGUGGCCAAAUCCAGGGCGGAUCUAUCACAAACACUGGGACCAUCAGAAACACAUUGUGAUAUACAAACACUCAUUUUUUUUUAAAAGAAUAUGAAAUAAUAUGUAAUAUCAGUCGUUAGAAAGGUUCAGUUUUUGUGGUAAAGUUUUAACCAAAAAAGACACAUAAAACAAAAAUCAAAUCAAAA